rnacentral:rRNA from 1 species
CCUACGGGUGGCAGCAGUGAGGAAUAUUGGUCAAUGGCCGGAAGGCUGAACCAGCCAAGCCGCGUGAAGGACGAAGGUGCCAAGCAUUGUAAACUUCUUUUGUCAAGGGACAAAGUGAGGCUCGAGAGCCUGACCGAGGGUACUUGAAGAAAAAGCAUCGGCUAACUCCGUGCCAGCAGCCGCGGUAAUACGGAGGAUGCGAGCGUUAUCCGGAUUUAUUGGGUUUAAAGGGUGCGUAGGCGGGCCUUUAAGUUAGCGGUAAAAGGCCGGGGCUCAACCCUGGACAUGCCGUUGAAACUGGCUGUCUUGAGAUGUCUAGAGGCAUGCGGAAUGCGUAGUGUAGCGGUGAAAUGCUUAGAUAUUGCGCAGAACUCCGAGUGCGAAGGCAGCAUACCGGCGGCUAUCUGACGCUGAGGCACGAAAGCGUGGGUAUCGAACAGGAUUAGAUACCCCUGUAGUC